GACGAAUGCUGGCGGCGUGCUUAACACAUGCAAGUCGAACGGAGCGAAUGAAAGCUUGCUUUUAUAAGCUUAGUGGCAAACGGGUGAGUAACACGUAGACAACCUGCCGACAGGAUGGGGACAACAUUCCGAAAGGAAUGCUAAUACCGAAUGAAGUCGAGGGAAGGCAUCUUCCUUCGAUGAAAGAUGGCCUCUAUAUAUAAGCUAUCACCUGUUGAUGGGUCUGCGUCUGAUUAGCUGGUAGGUGAGGUAACGGCUCACCUAGGCGACGAUCAGUAGCCGGUCUGAGAGGAUGAACGGCCACAUUGGGACUGAGACACGGCCCAGACUCCUACGGGAGGCAGCAGUGGGGAAUCUUCCGCAAUGGGCGCAAGCCUGACGGAGCAACGCCGCGUGAGUGAAGAAGGUCUUCGGAUCGUAAAGCUCUGUUGAUGGGGACGAACGUGCCUAAUGCGAAUAGUUUUAGGU
rnacentral:rRNA from 1 species